GAGAAGGGGGUAAACGGAAAGGUAGAAGAAAAGGGGAAAUGAUAAAGGAGAGGUAGAAGAAAGGGAAAAGAGAGAGAGAUAAACCUACAUAUUAAGAUCCAUUGAAAAAAGAAGGCCGUAAAUUCUAAAAGAUCAAUGGUUUCAUCUCAUACGGUCAAUAGUCUACCUUUCCCUCAAGUAAUCGCCAUCUUUUCUUUAUAUUGUUCUCGAAAAAAAAACUAUACACCAAUAAUAAGGAAAACAGUAAAUAAACCAUAUUAAUAGGCUGGGAAAACAUCUUGAAUCAUAUAAUAGGUACCACGUGUGCUCUUAUACGCGUGGUCCCUGAAGCGAAGCAGCAGACGAACCAAAACAAAGACCACGUGGAGGCCUGUCCGAGCGCGGCGUCAUAUCUUAGGCGUGUAGCAAGAGGCAUAUGUCAGAGGAGUGCGUCGCCUUGCCCACCUUUUGAUGCCAAACCUGGGGUUCCUCUUGGCAAAUCUCCAUUUAGGCCCCCUUCCCAUUCUCCAGUUGGUGUACCCGACGUCCCGCCCUGGAAUAGAGGAUGAAUGGGUGGAUGAAUGCGGAUCUCUGGUAGAUGACUAGAUGGGUGUGGAUGCUACUACUACUGCUACUGUUACUGCUUCUGGUGCUACCACUAGAUGGGGAGAUGGAGAUGAGCCUUUUACCAUUGUGAAUUUCAUUGGGGAGUUUGUAUUUGAGGGAUUUACUUAGGUUACAAUUGGUUUUCUACUUACGAUUCUUUUACAAUUAUUUUUAUUUUUCGAUGGUGUAGUGGUGGUAGACUUAAGUAGAAUCUGCACCUCAAUUUUGAUCUGAUUUGCAAUAUCACACACACACACACACACACACACACACACACACACACACACACACACACACACACACACACAC